GGGUCAGUAGCUCAAUUGGGAGAGCGUCCGCCUUGCAAGCGGGAGGAUGCCGGUUCGAAUCCGGCCCGAUCCAC
rnacentral:tRNA from 1 species